rnacentral:rRNA from 1 species
UUUUCCGCAAUGGGCGAAAGUCUGACGGAGCAACGCCGCGUGAGUGAUGAAGGUUUUCGGAUCGUAAAGCUCUGUUGUUAGGGAAGAACAAGUGCCGUUCAAAUAGGGCGGCACCUUGACGGUACCUAACCAGAAAGCCACGGCUAACUACGUGCCAGCAGCCGCGGUAAUACGUGGGUGGCAAGCGUUGUCCGGAAUUAUUGGGCGUAAAAGGCUCGCAGGCGGUUUCUUAAGUCUGGUGUAAAAGCCCCCGGCUCAACCGGGGAGGGUCAUUGGAAACUGGGGAACUUGAGUGCAGAAGAGGAGGGUGGAAUUCCACGUGCAGCGGUGAAAUGCGUAGAGAUGUGAAGGAACACCAGUGGCGAAGGCGACUCUCUGGUCUGUAACUGACGCUGAGGAGCGAAAGCGUGGGGAGCGAACAG